UGAUUGGAUGUAGCAAAGUAGGCGUGUCAUUCAGAUAGAUGAGGGAAAGGGUUCAGGGAGAGUCAUCGCAGCCUAACAGACUCCUCCUCCUCCUCACCAUUUUUGUUUGAUGUCAAAACUGACAGCUGGAGGGGCGUGGUUAAGUAUGUUAUCCCCGCCCAAUACCUCAGACAGACCUAAUCUGAGAAUUUACCUGAAAGCAAACAGGGUGUGCGUUUGUAGAUUUUAAUUGAAGAUUACAGGAGCAAACUGUUGUUUUGUUCUUAAUGACUUGUUAAUUUUAAUAUAUAUAAUUGAAUAUAUUAACUGAAUUGGCAAUGAUUGAAUUGUUCAAUGUGAGCGAACAACAUCAAUAUGGUUAGUUUUGAUCUGAUGUGUACUUUAACUCCGCGCAGGUUCUCAGGGUGCAGAUGAUGGGUCAGAUUCAGAGUCUUCUCCAGUGAUCCGUCCACCACCGAGGAAGACGAACCGUCGGCUGUGGCGCAGACAACUGGACAGCAGCAGCUCCGACAGCGGCCCGAUCACCACUAAUCCCUUUACCACAGGAGCAGACACACUGAAGAAAAACUCCAGCAGAGCGCUCUCAGAUUUCGCAAGUGUGCUGAAAACCUCCCUGAGCUUGAUCGGGAGCGAUGUGAACUCCUCUGAGGUCGUCCCAAAGAAAUCAUCGACUACUCAAAUGUAUGAGGACUCAGACGAGCAACGGGAGAAGACCCCGAGCUCUUUCGUUUCUCGGCUGAAGAUGUUCAAAGAGAAGCUCAGGCAGUGUGGAGAGGUCAGGACGUCCCCGGCGUGUGUGAAGUGGAAAAGUGUGCUUCUUCAGAGAGCUCUGCGCUCCCCUGCACUGUCCUGCGAGAGUCCGAGUCCUGAGACAUCAUGGUGCAGGUUUACACUGCUGGACUGCUCAACACCUGCAGGCCGGAGCGACACAGACACACCUCAGGUCAACACUGAAGGCCACAACAAGAACAGCAUGGCAGGAGAUUACUAGAACACUACAGUCUUGAUCUUCAGAUUCCCGUGGAUGAAGUGAACCAAGCAGACGAUCAGGAGCUCAGUGUUGAUUUCAGAACUAAUCUCUGCACUCGGCUUGAUGAAGUACUGCUGUUGUUUUAAUCUGCCCUAUUAAACUGGUAUUUAAUCAGCACUGA